ACCAGCUGAGCUCAAGCAGAAACUUGAGCUGAACCCAAAGCACCUGCAUUUGUGAGUGAUCUCCUAUGGGGCUUCUCAUGCUUGGGUCUGCAGCAGCAGGUUUCAACCACAUUUGAGAGAAGGUGUUGCAGUGCUGAUGAGAGACUUUGUUACUGCAAUUCCUUUGUGUAAAAUUUACUCAAGUCUUCGCUUGCUGUGGUUUGGAGGGCAGUGUGUGUGCUGCCUGACUGCUUGGGGCUGCUUUGUUCCUGUGUCCUCUGGGCUGAGUGACACAGAGAGGUGGAGCAGCUGCAUGCCAGAAGUCUCACUGCCUUGGUGAAGAGGUGCAGCUGGGGACCUGAAGGGCACUGGGCAAGCACACAGCAGCGCCAUCUCACCUGAAGACCUCCUGCACUUUUUCUGCCAUGAGCCUGGUGGGAGAAGGAGACAGAGCAAGCCACAGCAGAUGGGACUGAGGUAGGAAAAGGACACAAAUCAGGCAAAGGAGGAAGGGCUUUUGCUCCCUUGCGUUUGCUUUCUGCCAGCACAAAACUCAUCCUGACUUCCUUCCAGAACAUCUUCUGACCUGCAGCUAGGACUUUUUCUGAGGAGGAGGACGCUGACAUUUCUCUCUGGCGAUGGUGCUUGCUGGAAGUGGAAGCAAAGAGGACACAGGAGCUGUUGUUUCAGCAGGCGGUGCAUUCAGGGGGUGGGGGGAGCUGCGUUCCAUCUCCUUGCCAUCUGCCAGGCACAGCUUUCUGCAUUGCAGCUCCACACAGGGAUGUUUAUUCCAUGGGAUGCAAUACGUAUGGAAUCUUCUGGUGCACGUGUGCUGUCGUUUCAGAUUCUUUUUAACAAGUUUAGUCUCCAAUUCCACAAACAUUUCAUCAUGUGCAUAGGACUGCUCGUAUAAAUUGUGUUACUACAGAAAAGAGUGCUUCUCCUCUGGUUUUAAAUAUGUAUUGUCAGGAGGAUUAAGGUCCCAGACUUUUAUAUUGCUUUUAUAAAAAGUCAAAAUCUAGAGAGAUUGUACUGGUUAAAUGACCAGCUGGGUUGUCAUUGUUUUAUUUCCUCAAAUGUUUAGAUUUUUGUAUUUUAAUGGUUAUUUAUUUUUCAAGAUACCCAUUCAAAGCUAUUACCACUUUAAAACCUGAUGAUGAUGAUCCGGCUGCAAUACAUCUGAGCCAUCUCUCUCCUGAUAGCUGAAGGAUGAGGACAAGCAUUACAUACACUGCUCAGCACUCUGGGAGGCAGCGUUCCUGUUGUUUUCUCUUUCUCCGCUGUUGAGAAGCUGCUUCACAGCAGUGCUCGCUCAUUAGCACAGCCCCACAGGUGGUGCUGGUUCCAGUUUGAGGUGACACUGUGUGUUGCUCUGCCUGAGCUGCUCUCCCUCCCCAGCUCCAUGUACUGUGUCACUGCGUGGUUUGUGUCACAGGAUGCAGGUAUUAAUGUACUUAACCAUGUACAUCAUCAUUAGAGGCAUUUUUUUGGUGUGAAUGGCCAGGUGGGCCUAAGCAUGAUGCCAGGGACAUGGAGGUGGUCCUUCUAACUGUAGCAUGAGGAGUGAUCUGAAGGGCUGAGCUGGGCUAAAGGACCUGUGGAUGCUAUUUCUUUCUGUGUUUUAGAUGGGGGAGGGGAAGAUGAUAAGACAAAAUAAAAUAAA